rnacentral:rRNA from 1 species
GAUGAACGCUGGCGGCGUGCUUAACACAUGCAAGUCGAACGGAAAGGCCCUGCUUUUGUGGGGUGCUCGUUUGGCGACGGGGUGAGUAACACGCGAGUAACCCCCACUUGCCUUUCGGAUAACUUCAGGAAACUGGGGCUAAUAUCCGAUAGGAGCUCCUGAUGCAUGGUGGGGGUUGGAGAGUUUCGGCGGUUGGGGCUGGACUCGCGGCUUAUCAGCUUGUUGGGGGGGUAGUGGCUGACACAGGGUUCGACGGGUAGGCGGCAUGGGAGGGUGAACGGGGACAGUAGUACUGAGAUACGGCCCAGACGGCUACGGGAGGCAGCAGUGGGGAGUAUUGCACAACGGGCCGAAGCCUGAUGCAGCAAUGCUGCGUGCGGGAUGACGGCUUUCUGGGGGUGAACCGCUGUCGCCUGUGACGAGGAGUGAGUGACGGUAACGGGUCAAGAAGCACCGGCUAACUACGUG